rnacentral:rRNA from 1 species
GACGAACGCUGGCGGCGUGCUUAACACAUGCAAGUCGAACGGAAAGGCCCUGCUUUUGUGGGGUGCUCGAGUGGCGAACGGGUGAGUAACACGUGAGUAACCUGCCCUUGACUUUGGGAUAACUUCAGGAAACUGGGGCUAAUACCGGAUAGGAGCUCCUGCUGCAUGGUGGGGGUUGGAAAGUUUCGGCGGUUGGGGAUGGACUCGCGGCUUAUCAGCUUGUUGGUGGGGUAGUGGCUUACCAAGGCUUUGACGGGUAGCCGGCCUGAGAGGGUGACCGGCCACAUUGGGACUGAGAUACGGCCCAGACUCCUACGGGAGGCAGCCGUGGGGAAUGUUGCACAAUGGGCGGAAGCCUGAUGCAGCAACGCCGCGUGCGGGAUGACGGCCUUCGGGUUGUAAACCGCUUUCGCCUGUGACGAAGCGUGAGUGACGGUAAUGGGGAAAGAAGCACCGGCUAACUACGU